UAAAUUAUUCUCUGUCCCAAAUAACGAGCCCUUUAUUUUACUAAUUUGUAUAGUUAUAAGAAGUCACUCAUUGUUUUUUUACAUGUAUUUUGCAUAUAGAAUGAAUUCAUAUUUAUGAGUUGCUUCAGUGAUAAUUUCCCGAUCCUAAGGACAACAAAAAGAUAAGUAGAAUCAUCAAUGAAAACUUUCAAAAAAAAAUACAACUAGAUAAUUAAGAGUAGAACCUUCACUAAUGAAGAAGAUCAAUAUAAAAAAAUAGUACUUGAAGAUAAUAGCAUUGUCAUUCUGAAAUAUCUCAAGGGUCUUUUCAUAAUCUAAGAGAAAGAGCAUUUUCAAGACCCUGCACCAAUUUCUCAUAGCUCUGUAUCUAUCUCGCUACAACCUGCCCUAAAAAAAUAUUAGCCUUAAGAAAUAUAACUUUCAAGAACACGCGCCAACACUAAAGGAACAUAGACGGAACACGCGCCAAAUAUCAAAGGAACAUAAUUUUCAGAAAACUUGGUGCAACAUGUUAAAAGGCCGGCGUUCCACAUUACUGAGAAAGUCCUAUCAUGACAUUUCAAUGAAGAAGUUCGCAAUAUAUAUAUGUGAGAAAGCAAUAGCAUAUACACUGCACAUUACACAAAAAUAAUAAAAAAAAAGAUAGAACUUAACAAAGAGAUUUAAUUCACUGUUAUAGCAGUGAUAUGGAAAAACAUGUUAUGAAUAAUUUUUAGUUUUUAAAAAUACUUCGAAUGGAAAUGAUAACAUGCUUAACUGGCUUGAUAAAUAGUUUAACAUAGCCAUAUUUAAUCUGCAGUUCUAUAUAAGACUCAUACUUUUUAUUUAGGAUACCAAAGAUCUCAAGAAUCACAAGCCCCACGAUAUUAUUUAAUUAUUUUCACAUAAAUAUCUUACUUCUUAGUUGAUAACAAACUUAUAUCGAAUGAGCCUUUUACAUCAUAUAUAAUACGCUCUAGGUUAAGACUAACCAUAAUCCCUUGUUUUUUCCUACCUUAGACUCUAUGCUCAAAUUAGAGAAGUCUCAUAGAAGAGGAAAAUAUGUGCAUCAGUUAAAAUAACAACAACAAUUACAAGUUUCAAGGAAGUAACUACAAUAAUUAAUAUAUCUAGCAAAUUGUUACCUUGUCAUUGAACUUAAGAUCAACCUUUAAUUGUUUCAUCGUCGAGUUGCGAAACAAAAGUCACCAACAUGAUUUCAUCUGAUGGUUGAAAGAAAAAUCCAGUAUCUGUAAUACAUAGUCUUUUAAACUUCACCACAAGCUCUUCAAAAUAAUUUUCAAGCUCAACAAAAGGUACACAAAAUUAUGUAUACAUUCAAAAGUACAUACCUUGUACCAAAUUUUACAUCCAACUAAGAUGAUUUCUUUUGUUAACAUAUUCAGAGGAGAAGUCAUUUCUACAUUUCGAGUCUAACAGAAGUCACUAAACUACAAUAGAAUUUUAUAUACAUAAUUUCAUUGAAGAUGCUCUCAAAUAUUAAGAAGUUGUUGGAACUUUAAUGUCAUCUUUGAAAGCAUUAUCAUAAGAAUUGUUUUGUACGCUUGCCCAUAGAGAUUUAUAUAUAUCAACUUCCUAUUAAAAGUACAAUAAUUCAACACAUCAUUUUUCAGAGGGCUAUAUCAUUAUGGAUUAUCAAUUCAUUUCAUUUAUCUUGCAAGGUAAAGCGAGCAUAGAGACUAAAAUAGAUGAAUAUAAGAAAUGUUUGUAUGGAAUCUUGAAUUCAUUAUAUAGUGAAUCAAUAUUUGGAUAAGAAUAGGGAAGGAGAAAAAAUGAAAAUUAUAUAUUAUGUUAUUUUAGUUACAAACAUUCCAUAAAGUCAAAAAGAAAAUCUUCACAAUCUAGUAGAGGUAACAUGUCAAAUCCAUAAGGAAAUAAAUAUCUACAAAAUAUUGUUGAACCUAUGUAAUUAAAGACAAACUCAUUUGAAAUAACUAAAAGAAAGUGACAGAUUGUGUUACCUGUAAAUUUAAAAUAAAUUGGAGAAAACAAUUAGUAGGAGAAAAGUAUAUACACAACUUUAGCAAAGGGACGCGUAACAAAAGUGAUUUGCCUCAAUCGAAAAGAUAUACAUACACCUCCAAAUUUAGUAGAAUCAUUUUAUAUUCAAGUAUAAGACAUUAUUGUCCAUACAUAAAUUUUACAUUUAAUGAACGAUAAAGAACGAUGACAAUUUAUUCUAACCGUACCGAAAUAUAUAGGUGAAUUUAACGAGAAACACGUUGAAUAAAAACACAUGAAGAUCCUAAUUUCUGUAAAAGGACACCAAUGACAAAAAAAAAUUAUCAACGUAUCCAUUAUUCAUUUAAUCAGUGCCAUUUUGGAAAAAGAGACAUGUACACUAAAAUGUAAUCCAGCUUUCUCUAGCUUCUUAUCUGUUUUAAUUUCGUCAAGUUCCAAGAUGGUUGGAUUUACAGUUCAUUUAAUUUAGCCAACAUGAAAUGAAAAAUAUAGGUGAACAAAGAAGCUUUAAAACCCCUUGAAGGCUUAACAGUGUACUAAUGAUCGAUAAAAACAAAUAAAGAGCAAUUAUAAUUGUAGCAGAAUGUAACUUUUAAAGAUUAGUCCCACAAAAGGGAUUAUCUCACAUAAGAUUCUACAUUAAAAAAAAUAUAGCAAAUGUUUUGAAAUAAAAAUAUCGACAACACACAUAAUUUGAUCACGGACAGAGUUGAAUAUGAUGAGAAAGUAUAAUACUAUGUCAAGAUUGUUAUAAUAAAAUUAGAGAAGAUGAAGCAUACUAAAAGAGUAUAAUUAUCUAGACUGUAGACAAGAAAUCUAUGUACUUACCUAUGAAAAUUGGAGAAAUCGAGUAGAUUUUUUUUUGAAUAUGAAGUUUCUAUGCCCAUCCCUACAUAUCAUGUUUCCAAUCCUCUCAUUUCUCCUUGAAAUAAAUACAAAGACCUACACAUGAAAAAUUAAUAAAUCUUAAAAUCACUCACAUUAAGAACAAACCAUAAGGAAAACUAAAUUUCAAUAAUCAAUUUUAAAAAAAUAUAAACUAAUAAAUAGGGAAACAAAUAGGAGAAGGAGAAAAGAACUAGAAGGAAAAUAUCGAAUUAACCGUAAAUACAGUGCAUGCAAUUACAGAAACACAAAAACCAAAUAGAUAAGUAAAAUUGAGUAAAAAAAUCGAACCAAUCGAAUAAACAAUUGAUAAAAUAUGACCUAAAUUCAAAACUAAAGAAAUAAAAGCACAAAGGUCAAAAUAAAAGAGGAAAAGAGGUAGUUGGUAUGGAGAAUUGGUGAAGUUUCAUCGGACAUUCCUUUGCCUUCCAUGAACAUGAACAUAAACAAUACGGUUUCUUAAAAGCUCGGACACAUAAGAUAAACAGAAUUAGUAUGUGAUUUCUUCUUCUAAGUAUUGAACUUUCUGCACAUUAUUCAAUCCAAUAUUAGAAAAAUAAACUGACCAAAAAAAAAGGACAAAAUACGAAGGGCUCUUUGACCAACCUUCUUCAAGGACCAAUUUCAAGUUAUGGAAUGCAUCAAUUUUGUGUAGAAAAAAGGGUAAGUAGCUGAAAAAAUUUGGGGAGAAAGUGAAAAUAGGAUCUCUUAGGUAAAGAAACAAGGUAAUACGUUUC
rnacentral:lncRNA from 1 species